UACGUAGGGUGCGAGCGUUAAUCGGAAUUACUGGGCGUAAAGCGUGCGCAGGCGGUUUGGUAAGACAGAUGUGAAAUCCCCGGGCUUAACCUGGGAACUGCAUUUGUGACUGCCAGACUAGAGUGUAGCAGAGGGGGGUAGAAUUCCACGUGUAGCAGUGAAAUGCGUAGAGAUGUGGAGGAAUACCGAUGGCGAAGGCAGCCCCCUGGGCUAACACUGACGCUCAUGCACGAAAGCGUGGGGAGCAAACAGGAUUAGAUACCCUGGUAGUCCACGCCCUAAACGAUGUCAACUAGGUGUUGGGGAAGGAGACUUCUUUAGUACCGCAGCUAACGCGUGAAGUUGACCGCCUGGGGAGUACGGUCGCAAGAUUAAAACUCA
rnacentral:rRNA from 1 species